rnacentral:tRNA from 1 species
GCGGAUAUGGCGAAAUUGGCAGACGCCCUAGACUUAGGAUCUAGUGCCGUGAGGCGUGCAGGUUCAAGUCCUGUUAUCCGCACCA